rnacentral:rRNA from 1 species
UACGAAGGGGGCUAGCGUUGUUCGGAAUCACUGGGCGUAAAGGGCGCGUAGGCGGCUUUAUAAGUCGGGGGUGAAAGCCUGUGGCUCAACCACAGAAUUGCCUUCGAUACUGUAGAGCUUGAGACCGGAAGAGGUAAGUGGAACUGCGAGUGUAGAGGUGAAAUUCGUAGAUAUUCGCAAGAACACCAGUGGCGAAGGCGGCUUCCUGGACCGACACUGACGCUGAGGCGCGAAAGCUAGGGGAGCAAACGGG